UAUACUUAUACAUAAUACGAUGGGCUGGU
rnacentral:sRNA from 1 species